AGCUCGAUGGCGUAGUGCUAACGCGUCCACUUCCAUUGUGUGGAAUUCGCCGGUUCGACUCCGGCUCGAAUCC